CUUAAUAUUCAAGUACUAAGCUUUCGCCAUAGUAAGAUUCGCAAAUUCUCGUCAAGGAAUGGAUUUUCGUAACAGACUCUAUAAAAUAAGCUGUGUAUGUGUGUACAACUGUGGAAACGAAGAAGAAAAAUCAGCAUAAGGAAACAUAAUUAAACCAAUAAAUGGACACUUGAUGGAGUCCAGAUGAAUGAAUACCAGAUGGACAGGGACUGGCUGGAUGCUCCCUAGAGGACUAUAAACUGGACCAAAAUGACAGAGGUCAGAGUUCAGAAUGACAGGUCAAGAACUGCUAAUUGAGAGGCGAUUUCCUCUUUCUCCCCAGUGACCACUGAGGGCGGACGACACUGAGGUCCCUAAAACGUCAGCAUGGUAAUGAACACAUGACCAUUCAUAGAGACCAGACACUGAGAGGUAACCGCUAAGAAAAUUACACACAGGCGAACGUCCCGCCCCUCCUGUUCUUCAGGCUCCACACUUGGCAAAAUGAAGGGUCUGAUCUAACAAGGGCUCUUUCAUCUGCUGAGAAAAGCAGUAUCUGUUCA
ensembl:lncRNA